rnacentral:rRNA from 1 species
UACGUAGGGUGCAAGCGUUUAAUCGGAAUUACUGGGCGUAAAGCGUGCGCAGGCGGUUUUGUAAGUCUAUCGUGAAAUCCCCCGGGCUCAACCUGGGAAUUGCGAUGGAGACUGCAAGGCUAGAAUCUGGCAGAGGGGGGUAGAAUUCCACGUGUAGCAGUGAAAUGCGUAGAGAGUGUGGAGGAACACCGAUGGCGAAGGCAGCCCCCUGGGUCAAGAUUGACGCUCAUGCACGAAAGCGUGGGGAGCAAACAGGAUUACGAAACCCGGUGUCA